GUAGGGAAUCUUCCACAAUGGGCGCAAGCCUGAUGGAGCAACACCGCGUGAGUGAAGAAGGGUUUCGGCUCGUAAAGCUCUGUUGUUAAAGAAGAACACGUAUGAGAGUAACUGUUCAUACGUUGACGGUAUUUAACCAGAAAGUCACGGCUAACUACGUGCCAGCAGCCGCGGUAAUACGUAGGUGGCAAGCGUUAUCCGGAUUUAUUGGGCGUAAAGAGAGUGCAGGCGGUUUUCUAAGUCUGAUGUGAAAGCCUUCGGCUUAACCGGAGAAGUGCAUCGGAAACUGGAUAACUUGAGUGCAGAAGAGGGUAGUGGAACUCCAUGUGUAGCGGUGGAAUGCGUAGAUAUAUGGAAGAACACCAGUGGCGAAGGCGGCUACCUGGUCUGCAACUGACGCUGAGACUCGAAAGCAUGGGUAGCGAACAGGAUUAGAUACCCCUGUAGUCC
rnacentral:rRNA from 1 species